AACGAACGCUGGCGGCAUGCCUAACACAUGCAAGUCGAACGAGACCUUCGGGUCUAGUGGCGAACGGGUGCGUAACGCGUGGGAACCUGCCCUUAGGUUCGGAAUAACUCCCCGAAAGGGGUGCUAAUACCGGAUAAUGUCUUCGGACCAAAGAUUUAUCGCCUUUGGAUGGGCCCGCGUUGGAUUAGCUAGUUGGUAGGGUAAAAGCCUACCAAGGCGACGAUCCAUAGCUGGUCUGAGAGGAUGAUCAGCCACACUGGGACUGAGACACGGCCCAGACUCCUACGGGAGGCAGCAGUGGGGAAUAUUAGACAAUGGGCGAAAGCCUGAUCCAGCAAUGCCGCGUGAGUGAUGAAGGCCUUAGGGUUGCAAAGCUCUUUUACCCGGGAUGAUAAUGACAGUACCGGGAGAAUAAGCUCCGGCUAACUCCGUG
rnacentral:rRNA from 1 species